CAGAAAAUUGGAGCAAGUAUUGGAUUGAUUGAUUCAAUUGAGGAGUUACCCAAGAUCGUAUUAACCUGUAAAAGGUUCUAUUGGGUCCAAUUUGUUGCAAUGACAUCAUUUCUCCCGGCAAUUGGAGGCGAAUUCAUCUCGGGUGCAAAAUGUAGCUUGGAGUGUAGAAGAGACUAAUAUAUGUUGAUUGUGAUGGGUGUUAUUGAAAGGAUUGUUGCCGCUAAGUUUUUUGGCCGCGAAUGUUGAGAGGUUUGGUGGUUAUCAAGGUGCGUUUGGGGGCGACGUGAGGCGGGGAUGGAGGUCGGGACUGUUGGGCGGGUGAGGCUGAGACCGGUGGUGGUGACAACCAGCGGCCUAGGGGGCAGGAUCGUGGCCGACGGUGGCGGUGGACGUGGUUUUGAAGUUUGAACUCAGUUCAAUUUCUUCCUUCUUCUUUUUUUUUUAUUUUUUGUUUUUUGUAUAUAUAACAUGUUUUAAUUCAAGAAAAUCCACGUGUAUAGCAUUUGCUUGACUUGGCACACAUCAGCAAGCCGUGUCAGCAUUUGGUCAAUUUUUAAAUGGAAUUUGAGCUCGAUGACUAAGGAGAUUACAAAA